GAUGAACGCUGGCGGCGUGCCUAAUACAUGCAAGUCGAGCGAACAGACGAGGAGCUUGCUCCUCUGACGUUAGCGGCGGACGGGUGAGUAACACGUGGAUAACCUACCUAUAAGACUGGGAUAACUUCGGGAAACCGGAGCUAAUACCGGAUAAUAUAUUGAACCGCAUGGUUCAAUAGUGAAAGACGGUUUUGCUGUCACUUAUAGAUGGAUCCGCGCCGCAUUAGCUAGUUGGUAAGGUAACGGCUUACCAAGGCAACGAUGCGUAGCCGACCUGAGAGGGUGAUCGGCCACACUGGAACUGAGACGCGGUCCAGCCUCCUACGGGAGGCAGCAGUAGGGAAUCUUCCGCAAUGGGCGAAAGCCUGACGGAGCAACGCCGCGUGAGUGAUGAAGGUCUUCGGAUCGUAAAACUCUGUUAUUAGGGAAGAACAAAUGUGUAAGUAACUAUGCACGUCUUGACGGUACCUAAUCAGAAAGCCACGGCUAACUACGUG
rnacentral:rRNA from 1 species